rnacentral:rRNA from 1 species
AGUGAACGCUGGCGGCGUGACUAAUACAUGCAAGUCGAACGGAGUGGCGCACGGGGGAGUAAUGUAUAGCUAAUCUGCCUACAAUUGAGGACAACAGGUUGAAAAGGCUGGUAAUACCCUACAGUGUAGGAUAGGGCUAUAUUGUAUCAGCCAGUUGGUGGAGUAAUGGCUCACCAAGGUUAUGACGCAUAACUGGUCUGAGAGGAUGAUCAGCCACACUGGAACUGAGACACUGUCCAGACUCCUACGGGAGGCAGCAGUAGGGAAUAUUGCUCAAUGGGGGAAACCCUGAAGCAGCAACGCCGCGUGGAGGAUGACACUUUUCGGAGCGUAAACUCCUUUUGUUAGGGAAGCGGUACCUAACGAAUAAGCACCGGCUAACUCCGUGCCAGCAGCCGCGGUAAUAC